UGUAAAAGGGAGUGAGGAGGAAGAAAGA
rnacentral:piRNA from 1 species